GACGAACGCUGGCGGCGUGCCUAAUACAUGCAAGUCGAGCGGAGUGGUUUGAAAGCCUGCUUUCAAACUGCUUAGCGGCGGACGGGUGAGUAACACGUAGGUAACCUGCCUGUAAGACUGGGAUAACAUUCGGAAACGAAUGCUAAUACCAGAUACGCGGUUCUCUCGCAUGGGAGAAUCGGGAAAGACGGAGCAAUCUGUCACUUACAGAUGGACCUGCGGCGCAUUAGCUAGUUGGUGGGGUAACGGCUCACCAAGGCGACGAUGCGUAGCCGACCUGGGGGGGUGAUCGGCCACACUGGGACUGAGACACGGCCCAGACUCCUACGGGAGGCAGCAGUAGGGAAUCUUCCGCAAUGGACGAAAGUCUGACGGAGCAACGCCGCGUGAGUGAUGAAGGUCUUCGGAUUGUAAACCCCUUUUGGGAGGGAAAAUGGGACGAGCAAUCGUCCGGAUGGUACCUCCAGAAAAAGCCACGGCUAACUUCGUGCCAGCCGCCGCGGUAAAAC
rnacentral:rRNA from 1 species